rnacentral:tRNA from 1 species
GGCCGCGUGGUGUAAUGGUUGCACACUCUCACAAAUAUUGAGAGAGGGGCAGAGUUCGAUUCCUGCCGUGGCCA